GACGAACCGUGCGAACGUUGUUCGGAAUCACUGGGCUUAAAGGGUGCGUAGGCGGGUUGUCCAGUCUGGGGUGAAAUCCCACGGCUCAACCGUGGAACUGCCUCAGAUACUGACGACCUCGAGGGUGGUAGGGGCGAGCGGAACUGUGGGUGGAGCGGUGAAAUGCGUUGAUAUCCACAGGAACUCCGAUGGCGAAGGCGGCUCGCUGGACCUCUUCUGACGCUGAGGCACGAAAGCUAGGGGAGCAAACGGG
rnacentral:rRNA from 1 species